AUACGGAGGGUGCGAGCGUUAAUCGGAAUUACUGGGCGUAAAGGGUGCGUAGGCGGCUUGAUAAGUCGGAUGUGAAAGCCCCGGGCUUAACCUGGGAAUUGCAUUCGAUACUGUCAGGCUAGAGUAUGUCAGAGGUUGGCGGAAUUCCUGGUGUAGCGGUGAAAUGCGUAGAUAUCAGGAGGAACACCAGUGGCGAAGGCGACUAACUGGGGCAAUACUGACGCUGAGGCACGAAAGCGUGGGGAGCAAACAGGAUUAGAAACCCUAGUAGUCC
rnacentral:rRNA from 1 species